rnacentral:tRNA from 1 species
UAAGAGUUAGUUUAUAAUAGAAUUGUUGACUGUUAAUCAAAAGGAUUAUCUCUUAAG